rnacentral:rRNA from 1 species
GACGAACGCUGGCGGCGUGCUUAACACAUGCAAGUCGAACGGAAAGGCCCUGCUUUUGUGGGGUGCUCGAGUGGCGAACGGGUGAGUAACACGUGAGUAACCUGCCCUUGACUUUGGGAUAACUUCAGGAAACUGGGGCUAAUACCGGAUAUGAGCUCCUGCUGCAUGGUGGGGGUUGGAAAGUUUCGGCGGUUGGGGAUGGACUCGCGGCGUAUCAGCUUGUUGGUGAGGUAGUGGCUUACCAAGGCUUUGACGGGUAGCCGACCUGAGAGGGUGACCGGCCACACUGGAACGGAGACGCGGUCCAGAGUCCUACGGGAGGCAGCAGUAGGGAAUCGUCGGCAAUGGGCGAGAGCCUGACGGAGGAACGCCGCGUGAGUGAUGAAGGUCUUCGGAGCGUAAAACUCUGUUAUUAGGGAAGAACAAAUGUGUAAGGAACUAUGCACGGCUUGACGGUACCUAAUCAGAAAGCCACGGCUAAAUACGUG